rnacentral:rRNA from 1 species
UACGGGGGGGGCAAGCGUUGUUCGGAAUUACUGGGCGUAAAGGGCUCGUAGGUGGCCAACUAAGUCAGACGUGAAAUCCCCAGGCUCAACUUGGGAACUGCGUCUGAUACUGGAUGGCUUGAAUUCGGGAGAGGGAUGCAGAAUUCCAGGUGUAGCGGUGAAAUGCGUAGAUAUCGGGAGGAACACCAGUGGCGAAGGCGGCUACCUGGGCCAGUUCUGACGCUGAGGCGCGAAAGCGUGGGGAGCAAACAGG